GGAAUAUUGCGCAAUGGGGGAAACCCUGACGCAGCGACGCCGCGUGGGUGAGGAAGGCUUUCGGGUCGUAAAGCUCUGUCAGAAGGGAAGAAAUGCUUGUGGGUUAAUACCUUGUAAGUUUGACGGUACCUUCAAAGGAAGCACCGGCUAACUCCGUGCCAGCAGCCGCGGUAAUACGGAGGGUGCAAGCGUUGUUCGGAAUCACUGGGCGUAAAGGGCGCGUAGGCGGCUUGGCAAGUCAGAUGUGAAAGCCCACGGCUUAACCGUGGAAGUGCAUUUGAAACUGCUUGGCUUGAGUAUCAGAGGGGAAAGUGGAAUUCCCGGUGUAGAGGUGAAAUUCGUAGAUAUCGGGAGGAAUACCGGUGGCGAAGGCGACUUUCUGGCUGAAUACUGACGCUGAGGCGCGAAAGCGUGGGGAGCAAACAGGAUUA
rnacentral:rRNA from 1 species